UAGCCGGUGAGAGUCCGGUCGAGGUAAGAGCCAAGUCGCCUCGUAGCUGAAGGGCAACUGGUGGAGAGAACCUAAGGUUGAAGCCCCGUGACAAAGUAACCCCGAGAGGGGAGCGAGCAAAACAACAGGCCGUAACAUCA
rnacentral:ncRNA from 1 species